rnacentral:rRNA from 1 species
GUCUAUGGCCAUACCACCCUGAACGUGCCCGAUCUCGUCUUAUGUCAGAAGCUAAGCAGGGUUGGUCCUGGUUAGUACUUGGAUGGGAGACACAGAGGAAUAGGCC